rnacentral:lncRNA from 10 species
AUGAUGACUGUUUCCUAGGAGUUCUGCUGGAGCUACAUGCCUGAACACCAACCAAUAACCUUUUCAUGUGGCUGAGACCUUUCAUAUGGCCACAGUCCUCAGAGACAGCAUCCCAAGAGUGAUCCUUUUAAGAGGCUCAGGAGGGAGGUGACUGUCCUGAGAGAAGAACAUACUGAAGAAGUUUAAAUAGUGCUGCUACGGACACUUUUGUACAUAUCUUUUGGUGCAAGGCUAGUCUAGCCUGCUGGACAAUGAGAGGCCUACGGAACAGGGCGGAGUCACCAUAUCCCACUGAAACUGGCCUAGGUUAGCCAACAGCCCACCUCUCCCAGGCACGUGAAAGCUCAGCGGACUCUGAACAGAUGGACAAUAAACAUUUACUGUG